GCUCCGCGUUCUCCAUUUUGGGCCACCCAUGGGGGGGGGGUCUCCGUAGAGGCCCCGAGGGAGAGUUGGGCGAGGAAGGAAGAGAAAAUCUUCAGCGAGGGUAGUCGAAAAGAAGAGCCCUGCGGUAGAAAGCCACUCUAGGAGUAGGAGUGUAUUGGACCUUUGACCGCCAAGAGCUCUUUACUCGGGGGAGAAAAACUCGAGGAGGGCCUAUCCCCGCCAAAGCGCCGCUUUUUCCUUGGACAGGAAGAAGUGACCUAUUGCAAUGUCUCCAUUGCUGUUAUAGAAGUUCGUAGAUUCAUAAAAUAGUGUUUGCUUAAGAA
rnacentral:lncRNA from 1 species